GUCUACAGCCAAACAACCCUGAGUACAUCUGAACAGAAGCUAAGCAGGGUUAUGUCUGGCUAGUAUUUAGAUGGGAGAACCUUCUCGGUACAUUUUGAACAAAAAGGAUUUGACU
rnacentral:rRNA from 1 species